rnacentral:snoRNA from 1 species
AAAACACAGCUUAACUAUAAAAGAACACUAAUCUCAUGUGUUACCUGAGGGGCAAGUUUUCCAAAAAAACUUUCCACAGGGUCUCUGGCCUAAUGAGUAAAGUUUGAGAGUAAAACUUGCCACAAGU